GAUGAACGCUGGCGGCGUGCCUAAUACAUGCAAGUCGAGCGAACGGACGAGAAGCUUGCUUCUCUGAUGUUAGCGGCGGACGGGUGAGUAACACGUGGAUAACCUACCUAUAAGACUGGGAUAACUUCGGGAAACCGGAGCUCAUCCCGGAUAAUCUUUUGAACUGCACGGUUCAAAAGUGAAAGACGCCCUUGCUGUCACUCUUACAUGGAUCCGAGCUGCAUUAGCUAGUUGGUAAGGUAACGGCUUACCAAGGCAACGAUGCAUAGCCGACCUGAGAGGGUGAUCGGCCACACUGGAACUGAGACACGGUCCAGACUCCUACGGGAGGCAGCAGUAGGGAAUCUUCCGCAAAGGGCGAAAGCCUGACGGAGCAACGCCGCGUGAGUGAUGAAGGUCUUCGGAUCGUAAAACUCUGUUAUUAGGGAAGAACAUAUGUGUAAGUAACUGUGCACAUCUUGACGGUACCUAAUCAGAAAGCCACGGCUAACUACGUG
rnacentral:rRNA from 1 species